CUAUUAUGUAUAAAAUAGUAUAUAUAUAUAUAUAUAUAUAUAUAUAUAUUAUAUAUACUAUUUUAUACAUAAUAGGUGUGUGUAUGAAUACAUACACAUAUAUGUCUCCCCAUAGAAAUUUUAUAUUUAUAAACACCCACACACAUCCCUCCAAAAUUCUUUGUUUAUUUAUCAGCUGUUGGACACUUAAGUUGUUUCCCUAUAUGGCUAUUUUUAACAAUGCUGCAAUAAACAUGGAAGUGGAGAUAUCUUAUUGACAUAUUGAUUUCCAAUACUUUUUAUAUAUGACCAGUAAUGGGAUUGCUAGAUAAUAUUAUAGCUGUAUUUAAACAUUUUUUGGAAAAGUUGACACUAUUUUCCAAAAUAGUUAUAUUAAUUUACAUUACUACAAACCAUAUUUAAGAUUCUUUUCUUUUUUCCUUCAUAGGCAGAAUUUGUUAACUUUUUGUUUGUUUGCUUGUUUGAUUUUUUUCUUGUUCUAAGUGCAUUAUAAUUAUACACAAUGUUGGGAUUCAUUUUGAUAUAAUUAUAUAAGGAUUAAAUAUGAUUUCUUCCAAUUCAGUUCCUCGUACUUACCUUUUGCCUUCAUUGCUCCUUCAUCUUGUUCCCUUAAUUCUACUGGUCUUUCUUGUUAUUUAUUGUUUUUUUUUUUUAACUACUUCAUUAUGGAUACACACAAAGGCACAGUUCACUGUAGUUUAAUCAUAUAUAUAGAUGGGACUCUUUAGUCAGAUUCAUUUCACCAUUUUUUUGUUUUCUUCUCCCUCCUCUCCUCCUCUCAAUUUCCUCUCUCUUCUCCACUAAUCUCUGUUCUAUUAUCAAGGAAUUUCUCCUACACUUCUCUUUUUUUCUUCAUUAUGGUCUACCUUCUGCAUAGGAGUGAAAAUAUUUGAUCCUUGACUGUCUAAGUCUGGCUUAUUUCAGUUACCAUUAUGUUCUUCAUUUAUCAGCAAAUGCCAUAAUGCCAUUCUUCUAUUUUUCAUUGAAAUAUUUUUUAAUUUGUUAUAAUUAAUUUUACAUGACAGCAGAAAGCAUUUUGACACAUUGUACACAAAUGAAGCACAACUUCUCACUCCCCUGGCUCUACAUGGUGCAGACUCACAUCAGUAGUGUAAUCAUACAUGUAUAUAGGGAAAUAAUGUCCAUCUCAUUCCACUGUCCUUCCCCACCCACAUACCUACUACCCUUCCCUCACUCCCCUCUGCAUAAUCCAAAGUCCCUUCAUUUUUCCCUACCCCCUCUCCAUAAUGAGUCAGCAUCCAAUUAUCAGAGAAAACAUUCAACCUUUGGUUUGGGGGUUUGGCUUAUUUCACUUAGAAUGAUAUUCUUCAGCUUGUACAAAAGUCAUAAUUUCCUUCUUCUUUAAGACUGAGUAAUAUUCCACUUUUAUAUAUAGCACAUUUUCUUUAUACAUUCAUCUAUUGAAGGGCAUGUAUGUUGGUUCCAUAGUUUAGCUAUUGUAAGUUGAGCUGCUAUGAACAUUGAUGUGACUGCACCACUGUAGUAUGCUGAUUUUAAGUCCUUUGAGUAUAAACCAAGCAGUAUGAUAGCUGGGUCAAAUAUUGGCUCUAUUCAAAGUUUUCUGAGGAAUCUCCAUACAGAUUUUCAUAAUGUUUGCAUCAAUUUAUGGUCUACCUUCUGCAUAGGAGUGAAAACAUUUGUUGAAGAGACUAUCUUUUCUCCAAUGCAUGUUUUUGACACCUUUGCCUAGAAUGAGAUAACUGUAUCUAUGUGGGUUGGUGUCUGUGUCUAAGAUUUCAUCUGAUUGCUCUGGAGAAAAUAAUAUGUUGUCUUUGUAACUAUUGCUCUACAGUAUAGUUUAAGUUCUGAUAUAGUGAUGUAACCUGCUUCACUCUUCCUGCUAAAGGCUAUUGUAAAUGGGGUAGUUUUCCUCAUUUCCAUAGGGUAUAUAAAGAACUCAAAAAGCUAAGCACCAACAAAACUCAAAUAGCCCAAUCAAUAAAUGGGCCAAGGACUUGAACAGACACUUUUGAGAAGAGGAUAUACAAUUAAUCAACAAAUAUAUGAAAAACAUAUUCAUCAUCUUUAGCAAUUAUAGAAAUUCAAAUAAAAAAUACUCUAAGAUAUCAUCACACUGCAGUAAGAAUGGCAGCUAUUAUGCAUUCAAACAACACUAAUAAUUGGCGAGGAUGUAGGACAAAAGGUAUACUCACACUGCUGGUGGGGCUGCAAAUUGGAGAAGCCAAUAUGGAAAGCAGUAUGGAGAUUCCUUGGAAAACUGGGAAAGGAACCAUCAUUUGACCAAGCUAUCCCUCUCCUCAGUCUAUGCCAAAGAACUUAAGAACAGCAUACUACAGGGACACAGCCACAUCAAUGUUUAUAACAGCACAAUUCACAAUAGCUAAACUGUGGAACAAACCUAGAUGCCCUUUAGUAGAUGAGUGAAAUUUUAAAAAAGUGGCAUAUAUACACAAUGGAAUUUUAUUCAGCAAUAAAAGAGAAUAAAAUCAUGGCAUUUGCAGAUAAAUCAACAGAGUUAGAGAGGUUAAUGUUAAGUGAAGUUGGCCAAUCCAAAAACAAAAAACAAAUGCCGAAUGUUUUCUGUGCUAUAAGGAGGCUGAUGCAUAGUGCGGUACAUAGGGGGAUCAUGGGAGGAAUAGAUGAAUUCUAGGUAGGGCAGAGGGGUGGGAGGAAAAAGGAGAGGGCAGGGGCUUAGCAAGGAUGGUGAAAUGUAAUGGACAUCAUUAUCCAAAGUACAUGUAUGAAGACACAAAUUGGUAUCAAUAUACUUUUUAUACAACCAGAGAUAUGAAAGCUUGUGCUGUUUAUGUGUAAUAAGAAUUGUAAGGCAUUCCAAGAUCAUUUAUUUAAAAAAAACACAAUAAAAAAGAUAGAAACUCUGCAUUUACUAGAAGAAAAUAGAGGCUCAAUACUCCGAUAUAUUUGCACAGGCACCAACUUCCUUAACAAGAUUCCUAAAGUGCAAGAAAAUUUUUUAUAACUGUUGUUUUUACUGAAAUGCAGGUUUUGUGGUAUUGAUUAGCAUUUUUCUGAUGAUUAAAGAUGAUAAGUAUUGUUUUCAGAAGGCUAUUGGUCAUUCUUAUAUCUUCUUUUGAGAAAUAUAAAUUUAUGCAUAUUGCCAAUGUUUAAAUUUUUGCUAUGGAUUUGUUUGAGAAUCUUCAUACAUUCUGGAUAUGAAUUCAUUAGAAGUUGUAGAUUUGCAAAUAUUUUCUAAUUCUAUUUUCUCCAAUCUAUUCUUUGCUUUGUUUGCUAUGCAGGGGCUUUUUAGUUUUUUCUAUUUUUACUUCUGCUUUCUAUUUUUGCAUGGUUUUAUCAAAAUAAGAAAUAAAAGAAAAUAUUGCCCAUCUUAAUGUUAUAAAUCAUUUAUUCUAUGCUUACUUUUAGAUGUUUCUUAGUUUCAGUUUCUUCAAACUGAAACAGUUUCAUGAAUAAGAAUAAUACAUAAGUGGCCAUAAAACUUGGAAAGCAUAAAUAUAAAGAUC
rnacentral:lncRNA from 1 species